rnacentral:sRNA from 1 species
ACCGGACCCGGGGACGCAUGUCUGUAGUCCCAGCUACCCGGGAGGCUGAGGCUGGAGAAUUACUUGAGUCCAGGAGUUCUGGGCUGCAGUGGGCUGUGCCGAUCGGGUGUCCGCAUUCAGUUAGGUAUCAAUAUGGUGACCUCCCGGGAGCAGAGGACCACCAGGUUGCCUGAGGAGGGUCGAACCAGCCCAGGUCGGAAAGCAGAGACUCAUACGGGCAUUCAUGCACCCAUGUUCAUAGCAGCAGGACUCACAAUAGCCAAGAGGGGAAGCAAAGCAGGUGUCCGU